GGGCCCGCACAAGCAGUGGAGUAUGUGGUUUAAUUCGAAGCAACGCGAAGAACCUUACCUGGGCUUGACAUCCCUCUGACCGUCCUAGAGAUAGGGCUUCUCUUCGGAGCAGAGGUGACAGGUGGUGCAUGGUUGUCGUCAGCUCGUGUCGUGAGAUGUUGGGUUAAGUCCCGCAACGAGCGCAACCCCUAUUGUCAGUUGCCAUCAUUAAGUUGGGCACUCUGGCGAGACUGCCGGUGACAAAUCGGAGGAAGGUGGGGACGACGUCAAAUCAUCAUGCCCCUUAUGUCCAGGGCUACACACGUACUACAAUGGCCGAUAACAAAGUGCAGCAAAACCGUGAGGUGGAGCGAAUCACAAAACUCGGUCCCAGUUCAGAUUGCAGGCUGCAACUCGCCUGCAUGAAGGUGGAAUUGCUAGUAAUCGACGAAUCAGAAUGUCG
rnacentral:rRNA from 1 species